rnacentral:rRNA from 1 species
GACGAACGCUGGCGGCGUGCUUAACACAUGCAAGUCGAGCGGUAAGACCCCUUCGGGGGUCCACGAGCGGCGAACGGGUGAGUAACACGUGAGCAAUCUGCCCAUCACAUCGGGAUAACUCCGGGAAACCGAAGCUAAUACCGAAUACGACCACCUCCGGCAUCGGAUGGUGGUGGAAAGUUCCGGCGGUGAUGGAUGAGCUCGCGGCCUAUCAGCUUGUUGGUGGGGUAACGGCCCACCAAGGCUUCGACGGGUAGCCGGCCUGAGAGGGUGACCGGCCACACUGGGACUGAGACACGGCCCAGACUCCUACGGGAGGCAGCAGUGGGGAAUAUUGGACAAUGGGCGAAAGCCUGAUCCAGCAACGCCGCGUGAGGGAUGACGGCCUUCGGGUUGUAAACCUCUUUCAGCAGGGACGAAGCGCAAGUGACGGUACCUGCAGAAGAAGCACCGGCCAACUACGUG